ensembl:lncRNA
AAAGUGGCUGUAGACAAAUGCAAACAACUGGGUGUGGCCGUGUUCCAAUAAAACUUUAUAGACACAAAUUUGAAUGAUUUUCAGAUGUCAUGAAAUAUUUUUAUUCUUUUGAUAUUUUUUUCAAUGUUUAAAAAAUGUACAAAACAUGCUUAAUUCACAGGCUGUACAAAAACAAACAAAAAAGGCAGCAAGCAGGAUUCGUCUCGUUGGCCAUAAUGUGCUGACCUUAGCCAACUUAGGGAACAUUCUCCAGCCCUUCCCCAUAAAUAUCCACCCAAAGAAAACCACAGUUAGGAGCCCCUCUGCUUAUUCUUCAGCUACGUUGGGUCCUGCUCCCAGAGGAAAUUCAUGAGUUCUAUUGAUUAAGCUUUUCUUUGUUGAGAUUCUGGGUUCUGCUCCCUGGGAUACAGAUGAAUGCUUAGAGCCUGGAGAGCCAUUCGACUUUAUCUCUGGAUUUGAAGUUUUUAAUAAAAGAACUGGGCACAGAGAAAUCUGUGAGAAUUGGAAAAUGAGCACCCGUUCUUUCCAAGCUAACCAAAUAUUUACUGGCUCUUGGCAGCCAUAGUCAACCUUUUCCUCUGAAAUGCUGAGAGGUUAUAAGUAAUGGGAGAAUUCAUUUUUCUCAGGCCGUAGCUCUUGUGAGAAGCUGGAGCUGCCUCUCAAAACCUGGAGGGUUCUCAGGGAGAGGAGAGUCAGGGUUUUAUCUUCAAAGUCUCCUCCGAGAAAUGGUCGGAGCCGAGUCAGGGGGCCCUGACAGUGCUAACGGUCUGUGCCCCUCCAUGCAGCAAGGGAGCUGCUCAACACCCCAGCACCUUCUCUGGCCCCUGUCUUCCUAUAAUGCCUAGCUCCCUAAACCCCAAAUUUAGGGGUUUGUCAGCCCUGACUUGUGAGAGAGAAUGAGACUGAAUUCACAUGGGCACAAGCGUGUGCCUCUCUUUGUAUCUCUAGCUUGCGAUUAAAUUGAUAGUUUCAAAAGGAUGGUUAUGCAUGAGCCUGGGUCAUUCGCUAAGUAGUAGUGUAGACUAAAUCCUCUUCAGCAGGUCUCCCUGGUGAUUUCGUGUACUUAGGUUUGUGUAUUGCAUAUGGUUCUGCUAUUAAAGCUGCCAGGAACACAGUUUCUGGGGUAAAAUAACCUGAACUUUAUAAAGAGAAGUUUAAGCAAGAGAAAGCUUAGAAGACAUCCAGUGCAACCUCAUCUUUUACAGAGUAGGAAACAGGUUGUUUCAUUCAUUUUUCAUUCAUUUGUUCAUCUGUUCACUCAUUCAACAUUUGUUGUGUAGAAUAAACAGAGGUAGAAGUGGCCUUUAUCCUCACAGCGCUAACAAGAGGGGGAUUUGAAAAUCAUCUGCCCGAGAAUAUUGCCUGGCAUACUUGUUAAAAAUGCACACUCCAGAUCCACCAAAUGCACCCCCAAGAGCUACUGAGCUUGAGUUUUUAGGGGUACAAUGGUGGCAGCUGCGUUUUUAAUAAGCUCUUCAGGUGAUUGUUGAUACAAACUAAAUUUGACACACAUUCUUGAUAUAGGGAAGGAGGCUGGCCAUUUAACAGGACAACACUGUUUCAUAAGAGCUGAGCAGAAGAUGGGCUUCCAACCCCUGCCUGGGGAGACAAGAGAGCAGGGUCAGAGUUUCCUGACGAAAGGGCUGAGUGCCUAAGCUAGUCCUGAAGGUUAAGUUAAUCUUAAGGAGCAAAGAAGCAGAGGAAGGGUGGACCAAGCAGAGGACAGAGCAUGUGCAGAACCACCAGGAGGAGGAAAGUAACAUGCCAGGAUCACCCAACAGGCUAGUUGGAGCGUUCAAGGUGGUCUCAUCUCUGGGCUGAGUGAUCCUGCACCCGUCCUGAGCCCCAGCCCUUUCUGCGUAGGCCUGCGAGCUCAGAGUGUUCUUUCCCAAGCCAGCAGAGGAUGGUGAUGCUGAUGCUGCUGGAUGGGACCACACUUUGAGAACCAAAUGCAGAGGCGAGUGUCGGCACCUAAAUCAAGAAGUGGACAUCGCCAUACAGACCAACCUACAUAGAUGUAAAGACACUGGCCACACCCUACUCAGGCUAUUCCCUU